rnacentral:rRNA from 1 species
UGGGGAAUAUUGCACAAUGGGCGCAAGCCUGAUGCAGCCAUGCCGCGUGUAUGAAGAAGGCCUUCGGGUUGUAAAGUACUUUCAGCGGGGAGGAAGGGAGUAAAGUUAAUACCUUUGCUCAUUGACGUUACCUACAGAAGAAGCACCGGCUAACUCCGUGCCAGCAGCCGCGGUAAUACGGAGGGUGCAAGCGUUAAUCGGAAUUACUGGGCGUAAAGCGCACGCAGGCGGUUGAUUGAGACAGAUGUGAAAUCCCCGGGCUUAACCCGGGAAUUGCAUCUGAUACUGGUCAGCUAGAGUCUUGUAGAGGGGGGGAGAAAUCCAUGUGUAGCGGUGAAAUGCGUAGAGAUGUGGGGGAAUACCGGUGGCGAAGGCGGCCCCCUGGACAAAGACUGACGCUCAGGUGCGAAAGCGUGGGGAGCAAACAGG